CAGAGCUUCUUCUAGAUGAGCUGGAGACAGCAAAGGAUUUUGGCCAGGCCUUCUUUAAGUUUCCUUGCUGAGCUUUCACUGUGAAGCCAAAUCUGCACUGUUUGGUGUCUGCAGCUUCGUUUCUGGGUCCAGGCAACGGGAUGGAGAAAGGAUGGGGGUGAUCCAACAGCCGGCAUGGAAGGCUUCUCCCAGCACACCUUAAUUUGAGAUCUCCUGCAUGCAGGAAGCAAUGGAGUUAAGUGACCUUGCUGAAUCCCGACUGCUGCAGCUGCAGGAGAACGGGGAAGGAAAAGAAGAGAGGGGAGGAGGAAGAGGCACUUUGCAGCCUCCCAUUAAAGCCCCAAGAGGCUGAAGAUGAGAGAGUGAAAGUUUCAAAUUGCCAGAAUGUAAUUCUGAAAGUCAUUUUCCAAGCGCAGAGCUCUCCGCAAUGUCACCUCUCAUCUUCCAAGGUGGGGAUAGAAGAAACAAAAAAACACAGAAUGUUCUGCAAAGACAGAGCUGCUAAUACAAAGACAGAAGAGGUGUCAGUCCCCAGACACGCUGUCUCGCACCGCCUUCUUCUGGGAGAUCUGUGCAGCUCGGGUGCACCUGUACCGGGGAACCAUUCCCAGCUCCUUUCCCAAGC
ensembl:lncRNA